AGUUAAUAACCUGGCUAGGACUAGGGCUAGGAUGCAUCAUGUUUUCUAUUAUUGCAUGUUGAUAUGGUUGAGUGCAGGUACCCAUUAUCCUUAAAGAUAGUUUCAUAGCAGGAGGCUAACUAUCUGGGAAACGGUUUGAUUAAGUAGAUUGCUUGUUAGACUAGUUUAAUACUUGCUCGUUUAAUUAAUCUUGUUGAUUGAGGUUAGCCAGCUCUUGGUAAGGGGGUGAUUAACUGGUUGAGUUGUUAGAAUUAGGUUAUUUGGUUAUGUGUUAGAAUCCUAGUGAGUCAGUCAUGAGUACGUGUUUAGCCAGAGAAUCUUACUUGGAUUCUAGAGCCAAGUAUUUUCUUUAGGAAUUGAGACUAGUAGAGUGUUAGGUAACUCCCAAGUGUGUGAGAUAGAGUUGAGAACCUCGUGGUGGUUCUACUCUUGGCAGGGCAUUGCUUCCUCCAAUUGGUACCACUAAGCCGGUCGUGGUCCGAAAAGUGGUAGGCUCGGUUUAGCUUGGUUGAUCACCGAGGCCGAGUGUCACACGUGGAUGUGACAGCCCCCGGCGAGUCCGAUAGAGGACCGGGGCACGGCGAUUCCGAUUGAGGACCGUGACCGGGUGAUUCACGAGCGCCUACGCCUGUGUGGUGUAAUAGUGAAGGGAUUGCCGGUGUCCCUUGUGU
rnacentral:lncRNA from 1 species